CUUGAUCGACCCCAGCCACAACGGCCGCUCCGCCGACCGCCCCUGACCGUAGGUCGCCAGCAGCGCCUGCGCCUC
rfam:Streptomyces bingchenggensis BCW-1, complete genome.